rnacentral:sRNA from 1 species
AGUUUUGGAUUUGGAUGUAAAAACAAAAUUAGGUGGAAUUGUUGUUCCUGUGAUCGGAAGUCCCUAUUAAGGACCGGGGAUAUUUGCUCCAUAUAUAUCUUGCUUUCUGCGUCAUUUGUGGGCCAAUCUGCGCCUUCCAAAGGUUCCUGCAAUUGGAAAAGUGUCCCUGAUCUUUUGGUUUUUUUCAAGGUCUGCCAUGAUAUGGUGAUUACGAAGUGAUUCCAGCUCAAAAUAUAAAUGCUUUUUGAUGAUUUCGCACGUUCUGGGCCAUACAUUUGAUUUGCUUUCACACCGUGGCCUAAAAAGAGGCUUCGACUUCGACUUCGGCUUCCUGUUCAACAAGUAAAAGGCCUGCCCAGGUGUGAUAUAUCGUUUAUAUAAAUCUUCAUAUGGAGAUAUAUCUAAUACUGAUUCUAUCGAAAGAAUUGUUGGUUAUCUAGUAGAUACGGAUUGGAAUGAUGAUUUGGAAGCGCCUUUUGACCCCCUUCAAUCACGCCUCACGCUGCCAUCUCUAGCGUUGAACUACAUCUUCCAAUUUCGGAGUAUUCAUUUACUUGAGUUUCACUUUGAAAUGCAAACCAGAGGCAAAACGUGGCGCACAACGCAUCCAUAUCCGCUAAUUACGCAGCCACCAGCGGCCUGGCCUGGCCUGGCCCCUGCCCAUACCCCAGACCUCAGACCCCAUGGAAAGUGUAAACAAAUUUUGUGUGCGUGUGAUUCUACCCCCGCGGAAAAGUUUUCCGCUGAAGCGAUGGACAAGCUCUCGGAAGAGAGGGAGAGAGAGAGCUUUACACACAGAUCAAAGUGCUGGUUUUUUUUCUCUUCGGGUCUUUGACGGAACCAAUAAACAUGUUCGGCACUUUAUUUACAUUGGCUUCCGGUUGAAUUCAGUAUUUUUUCCCCC